rnacentral:rRNA from 1 species
UUCGCGAGGCGUAACACAGCUGCUGCAUGGCUGCCGUCAUUUCGUGUCGUGAGAUGCCGGGUUAAGUCCCCCAUCUAGUGUACCCCUUUUCAUUAGUUGCCAUAAUUCAGAUGGGCACUCUAAUGAGAUUGCCGGUGACAAGCCGGAGGAAGGCGGGGAGGACGUAAAGUCCUCAUGGCUCUUAUGACCAGGGCAUCACACGUCAUACAAUGGUCGGUAAAGAGGGUAGACAAGCCGCGAUGCGGAGCCAAUCUCACAAAACCGAUGGUACUCCGGAUUGCACUCUGCAACUCGCGUGCAUGAAGUCGGAAUAGCUAGUAAUCGCAGGUCAGCAUACUGCGGAGAA